GCAAACAUGGUAUUUAAUUAAAAAUAUUAAAUUGACCUUAAUCAAUUUUUAUCAACCUGCUAUUAACACUCACUUUUAGUAAGUUACUUGUACUUUGAGGUUGAAAAAUCUUACCAGCUCAGUCUGCUUGAGCUGGAUUAAUUUAGAAAAAGUAAGUUUAUGACACUGUGGGCAUGCGCAGAUCAAUCAAUCAUCCCCAACCAAUCAAGCUGCUUCGUAAGGCGGGUCUUGGCGUGGCGGGAUUCGUAAUUUUGCAAACGGUAGAUGAAGCUGGAUAUCAUUGAGCUGGACCUAAACAUCGCUUCAACGGCACUUGUGAUUAUCGUCAGCAUAACAGCGAUUCUUGUGCUUGGCACACUCAUUUGUUUCCUUCCAGGCACAAGCAUAUGGUGAUCCAUCCACACAUUCCAUAAUCCCAGCAAUAAAAGAUUUUCAAACAGUUUUCAAAAUGGACCAGAGGUUGUUACUGAGAGUCAUCAUCGCAGAAGAUGAUAUAACAUUGUCAUCACCCACCACAACAUUAGACACUGAGGGCAGCACAGCAGACACUGAGAUCCUGUCGCCUGUAGGAGCAUCACCAUCGCUAAGACAACAGUGGCCAGAGUUCUUUGACAUACCCAAUUAGCACAUAUCAUAGAGAGACAGGUGUUUGCUGAGUUUAAUAUUGCCAGUAAGAAUCUUGAGGGAGACUUCUUUGAGGCUCUGGACCAGUAUGCCCCACGUUUCAUUGAACUUUUCAAAACAAAAUAGGGAACUGUUGGCCAGAAACUCAGGGAGCUGAUGCAGCACAUGAGCUGGAUGACACCAGACGACACAGUACUUCGCUCUGUUGUCCUCAAAGGCAUUCCCAUUUUACUCGGUGAUGACUCCAGUGAAUUCUACAAGACCUGCUCUGAUACAGAGAGAGACGAGGCCCUAGAAUGCAUCACUGUAGUCCUCACGAGGGUCAAAGCUCAGUGGACCUCCAGCCCAUCUCCACUGCCAUCAUUCUGGAGGGAGGUAUUCUCAUGGAUCAUGUUAAAAACUUGCCUCAGGCAGUUUGUCCUUUGUUUGGUCUUACAUAUGCAUUGCAUUUGGAUACCCAAAAUGCAUGGCAAAUACACUCAACUUCAUUCAGACUGUGAUGCUUGGACUGGUAAAGAAAAACCUCCCACCAAAACUGUUAACUCCUGAAGAACAGUCUUCUGGGUUAGAACAGUAAAGAGCCAUCGGCUGUCAGAUAGCACUUUGUAAGCUUUGCAGCCAUUAAUGUUCUCCUCUUAUCAGAGAAAGUUUGAUGCUUUCAUGGAAUUGUUCUCGCUUAUUUACGUUCUCAAUGGAAAAAAAAAAAAGAAUAUUCCAUUAAAGUCUACCAUGUUAUGCAGGUAUGCUAAUGGUGGAAAUAGUGCCAUGUUGUGUUGCAAAGAGUUGUUAGAUGUUAUUAGAUGAUAAUGUCAGAAAAUAACCUAGCAAGGUUAUCCUGUUUACAUUUGUGUUUUGGGAAAACUUUUAAUGAUGUUUUUAUUUGUGUUGGUUUAAUCCUUGGACUGCUCACUUUGGGACACAAAAGUAUGUUGUACUUUCGGUUUUGAUCAGAAAUGCACUGAUUGUGCAUGCACUGAAGUCGUCCUGUAGUUACCUGUUUAAUAUUGGGAGACAUGCAUACAAUUAGCUCACAGAAAUGUUUUUAUUUUAUUUUUUUAUAUAUUUUUCCAUGUCAUUUUAUACAGUUAAAUCAAACCACAACUUUGUUGUUUAGCUGCUGUUUUGUACUUGAAUGUGCAUUGAAUAAAUUUUGUAAUGGAGCUGAA